CAGCAGCCGCCACGGUAAUACGGAGGGUGCAAGCGUUAAUCGGAAUUACUGGGCGUAAAGCGCACGCAGGCGGUCUGACAAGUCAGAUGUGAAAUCCCCGGGCUUAACCUGGGAACUGCAUUUGAAACUGUCAGGCUGGAGUCUUGUAGAGGGGGGUGGAAUUCCAGGUGUAGCGGUGAAAUGCGUAGAGAUCUGGAGGAAUACCGGUGGCGAAGGCGGCCCCCUGGACAAAGACUGACGCUCAGGUGCGAAAGCGUGGGGAGCAAACAGGAUUAGAUACCCCUGUAGUCCCUGUCUCUUAUAC
rnacentral:rRNA from 1 species